GAUGAAGAACGCAGCGAAAUGCGAUACGUAAUGUGAAUUGCAGAAUUCAGUGAAUCAUCGAAUCUUUGAACGCAUAUUGCGCUCUUUGGUAUUCCGAAGAGCAUGCUUGUUUGAGUAUCAGUAAACACCUCAAAACUUUUUUUUUUUUAAAAAAACAGUUUUGGACUUGAGCAAUCCCAACACCAAUCUUUUUUAGAUCGGUGGCGGGUUGCUUGAAAUGCAGGUGCAGCUGGACAUUCUCCUGAGCUAAAAGCAUAUUUAUUUAGUCCCGUCAAACGGAUUAUUACUUUUGCUGCAGCUAAUAUAAAGGGAGUUUGACCGUUUUGGCUGACUGAUGCAGGAUUUCACAAGGGUCGGCAACGAUUCUUGUAAAACUCGAUCUCAAAUCAAGUAAGACUACCCGCUGAACUUAAGCAUAUCAAUAAGCGGAGGA
rnacentral:misc_RNA from 1 species